CUGAGCUGGAGAUUUUCUUGACAAAUCCGAGAAGGGAAUUUCUAACCGGCUUUGGUUUCGGUUAUGUCCUCGACUUGGCUUAUACAUAUCUCGAAGCCUGUGUGGAAAAAAAGUUCUUCAAAAUGAAGCUUAGGGACGAAAGGCGCCCCGCCACAUUUGGAUUUGUACACAAGCUAUUCCAACCAGCAGGAACAGAGGGAAUUCAGAAGAUUUUAAAUGUGGAUGGGUACGAAGGGACAGUCAGGAAUAGGAGAUGUAAGGAAGCUUUGGUUCGGGAUGUAGUCGCACUACUUGUAUCCAAC